UGGGGAAUAUUGCACAAUGGGCGCAAGCCUGAUGCAGCCAUGCCGCGUGUGUGAAGAAGGCCUUCGGGUUGUAAAGCACUUUCAGCGAGGAGGAAGGUGGUGAGCUUAAUACGCUCAUCAAUUGACGUUACUCGCAGAAGAAGCACCGGCUAACUCCGUGCCAGCAGCCGCGGUAAUACGGAGGGUGCAAGCGUUAAUCGGAAUUACUGGGCGUAAAGCGCACGCAGGCGGUUUGUUAAGUCAGAUGUGAAAUCCCCGGGCUCAACCUGGGAACUGCAUUUGAAACUGGCAAGCUAGAGUCUCGUAGAGGGGGGUAGAAUUCCAGGUGUAGCGGUGAAAUGCGUAGAGAUCUGGAGGAAUACCGGUGGCGAAGGCGGCCCCCCUGGACGAAGACUGACGCUCAGGUGCGAAAGCGUGGGGCAGCAAACAGGAUUAGAUACCCUGGUAGUCCACGCUGUAAACGAUGUCGACUUUGGAGGUUGUGCCCUUGAGGCGUGGCUUCCGGAGCUAACGCGUUAAAUCGACCGCCNGGGGAGUACGGCCGCAAGGUUAAAACU
rnacentral:rRNA from 1 species